GUGCCAGCCGCCGCGGUAAUACAGAGGUCUCAAGCGUUGUUCGGAUUCACUGGGCGUAAAGGGUGCGUAGGUGGCAGGGUAAGUGGAUGUGAAAUCUCCGAGCUCAACUCGGAAAUGGCAUUGGAAACUACCCAGCUCGAGGGUUAGAGGGGGGACUGGAAUACUUGGUGUAGCAGUGAAAUGCGUAGAUAUCAAGUGGAACACCAGUGGCGAAGGCGAGUCCCUGGACAACUCCUGACACUGAGGCACGAAAGCUAGGGGAGCAAACAGGAUUAGAUACCCUUGUAGUCC
rnacentral:rRNA from 1 species